rnacentral:rRNA from 1 species
GACGAACGCUGGCGGCGUGCUUAACACAUGCAAGUCGAGCGGUAAGGCCCUUUCGGGGGUACACGAGCGGCGAACGGGUGAGUAACACGUGGGUGACCUGCCCUCAGCUCUGGGAUAAGCCUGGGAAACCGGGUCUAAUACUGGAUAUGACUCCAUGACGCAUGUUGUGGGGUGGAAAGCCUUGUGCGGCUGAGGAUGGGCCCGCGGCCUAUCAGCUUGUUGGUGGGGUGAUGGCCUACCAAGGCGACGACGGGUAGCCGGCCUGAGAGGGCGACCGGCCACACUGGGACUGAGACACGGCCCAGACUCCUACGGGAGGCAGCAGUGGGGAAUCUUGCGCAAUGGGCGAAAGCCUGAUCCAGCGACGCCGCGUGUGUGAAGAAGGCCUGC